rnacentral:misc_RNA from 1 species
GGAGGUUAUUUUAGCACAAUUUGAUCUCUCUCGUCAGGCAGAAACGAAAAUACUUAGAGGGCCACAUGAGGAUUUGGAAAGUUAUCUCGGGGCUAUUGGUCAGUUAAGAAACAUUAUCAAAUUCUUUAGUAGCCAUAAAGGUUUUAAGAGUAGCGAGGUAGUGCUUAACCAGGCAAAUACGCUGCUUGCAAAAGCCAUCUCAAAGCUGGAAGAUGAGUUCAGACAGCUAUUAUCUUCCUACAGCAAACCUGUGGAGCCCGAGCGUCUUUUCGAUUGCCUGCCAAAAUCGUUGCAACCAUCUUCAGAAUCUCCUGGUCAUGAUUCAGGUGGAAAGAAUCACUCCUCAAAUCCACAUUCUG